CCUACGUGAUGCAGCAGUGGGGAAUAUUGCACAAUGGGGGAAACCCUGAUGCAGCGACGCCGCGUGAGUGAAGAAGUAUUUCGGUAUGUAAAGCUCUAUCAGCAGGGAAGAAAAUGACGGUACCUGAUUAAGAAGCCCCGGCUAUCUACGUGCCAGCAGCCGCGGUAAUACGUAGGGGGCAAGCGUUAUCCGGAUUUACUGGGUGUAAAGGGAGCGUAGACGGCAGCACAAGUCUGGAGUGAAAUGCCGGGGCUUAACCCCGGAACUGCUUUGGAAACUGUGCAGCUAGAGAGCAGGAGAGGUAAGUGGAAUGCAUAGUGUAGCGGUGAAAUGCGUAGAUAUUAGGAGGAACACCAGUGGCGAAGGCGGCUUACUGGACUGUAACUGACGUUGAGGCUCGAAAGCGUGGGGAGCAAACAGGAUUAGAUACCCUAGUAGUC
rnacentral:rRNA from 1 species